GAUCCCUUUCCCAGAGUGCUCUGCGCUGUGAAGAAGCGGCUCCCGGGGACUGGGGGCAUUUUGUGUUGGCUGAAGCCGGAGUAACAAGAUGGCGGCGUCGGCGGAGUGACAGGGGUCCCUUCGGCCCGGAGCCGGCGGCACUGGUCGCAGCGGUAUCGCCAGCCUAAUUUCACCGCGCCUCUUUUCCAGCCAGCGACGUCGCCGCGAAAGCGAGGCAGCGGCAGCCGCCCAGAAACAAGUGGCCCAGCCUCGUAACCGCGAGAACUGCCUCACAAUCGGCGGCCUGGCAGAAAGAAACCUGACUGAGCGGCGGUGAUCGGGUCCCCGUUGGCCGAUUCUGGGCCCUAUAACGCCGGGAAAAGCCUCCGUUUCCGCUUCCUGCCGCCCUCCUCCGCAGCCUUGCCCCGUGGACGAGCCUCCGAGGCCUCCGUCGUCCCCUCUGAGGUGUCGGGGCUUUGCCCCAGCCUCCAUCUUCGUUUCUCAGGAUGGCGAGCAGCAGCGGCUCCAAGGCCGAAUUCAUUGUCGGAGGGAAAUACAAACUGGUACGGAAGAUCGGGUCUGGCUCCUUCGGGGACAUUUAUCUGGCCAUCAACAUCACCAACGGCGAGGAAGUGGCAGUGAAGCUAGAGUCGCAGAAGGCCAGGCAUCCCCAGUUGCUGUACGAGAGCAAACUCUAUAAGAUUCUUCAAGGUGGGGUUGGCAUCCCCCACAUACGGUGGUAUGGACAGGAAAAAGACUAUAAUGUACUAGUCAUGGAUCUUCUGGGACCCAGCCUCGAAGACCUCUUCAAUUUCUGUUCAAGAAGGUUCACAAUGAAAACUGUACUUAUGUUGGCUGACCAGAUGAUCAGUAGAAUUGAAUAUGUGCAUACGAAGAAUUUUAUACACAGAGACAUUAAGCCAGAUAACUUCCUAAUGGGUAUUGGUCGUCACUGUAAUAAGUGUUUAGAAUCUCCAGUGGGGAAGAGGAAAAGAAGCAUGACUGUUAGUACUUCUCAGGACCCAUCUUUCUCAGGAUUAAACCAGUUAUUCCUUAUUGAUUUUGGUUUGGCCAAAAAGUACAGAGACAACAGAACAAGGCAACACAUACCAUAUAGAGAAGAUAAAAACCUCACUGGCACUGCCCGAUAUGCUAGCAUCAAUGCACAUCUUGGUAUUGAACAGAGCCGCCGAGAUGACAUGGAGUCAUUAGGAUAUGUUUUGAUGUAUUUUAAUAGAACCAGCCUGCCGUGGCAAGGACUAAAGGCUGCAACAAAGAAACAAAAAUACGAGAAGAUUAGCGAAAAGAAGAUGUCCACUCCUGUUGAAGUUUUAUGUAAGGGGUUUCCUGCGGAGUUUGCCAUGUACUUAAACUAUUGUCGUGGGCUGCGCUUUGAGGAAGCCCCGGAUUACAUGUAUCUGAGGCAGCUAUUCCGCAUCCUUUUCAGGACCCUGAACCACCAAUAUGACUACACAUUUGAUUGGACAAUGUUAAAGCAGAAAGCAGCACAGCAGGCAGCAUCUUCCAGUGGGCAGGGUCAGCAGGCCCAAACCCCCACAGGCAAGCAAACUGACAAAACCAAGAGUAACAUGAAAGGUCCUAAAGAUGAGAAGUUGGAUCCACUGAGUUAGUGUGUUUCCUUGAAAAAAAAAAAGGUUGCAAUUAAACUUAAGUUAAAUCCUUAUUUUGUAUUGUAGCUACUUUUUAUAAAAGUUUCUAAGCAUGAAUUGUGGAACAGAUGAAGCAGAGCAGAUGAUCGGAGCAGCAUUUGUUUCUCCCCAAAUCUAGAAAUUUUAGUUCAUAUGUACACUAGCCAGUGGUUGUGGACAACCAUUUACUUGGUGUAAAGAACUUAAUUUCAUUAUAAACUGGCUCUGGGCAGCACUGGUGAUGCUGUAUCCUGAGUUGUAGCCGCUGUAAUUGUGAAUAUUAACUGAGGUAGUGAAACAUGGUGUCCGGUUUUCUAUUGCAUUUUUUCAAGUGGAAAAGUUAACUAAAUGGUUGACACACAAAAAUUGGUGGAGAAAUUGUGCAUAUGCCAAUUUUUUGUUAAGAUCCUUUACUUUGAACUAUACUGCUUUGAAAUCUCAUUUCAGAAGAAUGGCAUGAACAGUCUUCAGCCGCAGUUGUGAUGAUUGUAAAUUCUCACAAUUGUGCAUUCUUAGGGUUUUUUCCACCCCUGGGGUUUGCAAGUUGUUCACUUAAAACAUUCUUAAAAUGGUUGGCUUCUUGUUUGCAAGCCAGCUGAUAUGGUAGCAACCAAAGAUUCCAGUGUUUGAGCGUACGAAAGACUCUGCCUGCUUACCUGUGCUAGAAAUAACAGCAUCUAAAGUGAAGACUUAAGAAAAACUUAGUGACUACUAGAUAAUCCUUAGGACUCUGCAUUAACUCUAUAAUGUUCUUGGUAUUAAAAAAAAAAGCAUAUUUGUCACAGAAAUUUAGUUAACAUCUUACAACUGAACAUGUAUGUAUGUUGCUUAGAUAAAUGUAAUCACUGUAAACAUCUAUACAAUCUGGGAUUUUGUUUUUAUUUUGAAAUGGGAGCUUUUUUUUUUUGUUUACAAGUUCAUUAAAAACUAAAAACUGUUUCUGUAAGGAAAUGAGAUUUUUUUUAAACAACAAAAUGCCUUGCUGACUCACUAUGAAAUAAAAAUCUCCCCAGUUUUUUGAUAGACUACUUCAAGCCAUUUGUUACAUGAUAUUCCUUGAAAAGUUAAUUUAGAUUUAAUGUAUGACUUCCUCAGAUUUUUUUUUUUUUUUAAUUUUUAAAAUGUCUGGUUUUUUUCCUCCCCUGAAGGGAAAAGGCAUUCUUUCCUUUUUUUUCUUUUUUAAUGACUUGCAGGCACAAUACCUGGUACUGCAACUGCCAGAACCUGGUACUGUAACUCCUGCUGCAGCUGACUAACAGCUGGACUGAUUUUGAAUAAGAAUGAAAGCAUUAAAGGGUUUGACUACAAGAUGUUUUUUCUUUAAAAUACUUGUGAAGUGGCUCUAAGCAGUUGACUCUUACCCUUGGAGAGCUUCACACUGUGUGAGGUCCAAGUGAGUGCUGACCCUCCUCGCCAGCCUGAGCCCCCCACCCGCUUCUCUCUGUUAUCAUCUGUGUGCGCUUCCCUCAGUCUUACUUGCGCGCUCUUUUCUCUGAAUCAAGAGAAAGGAAAAUGUAUUGAUGAUAAUUCUUUGAACAGUGUAAUUUAUUCAUUUAUAGCACAUCAGGAUAAAUUAAAAGAACUUUUGUCUGAAAAUGCUGCCGGGAGCCUAUUCUGUAAAUGUAGGUAUUUUGUAAAAUCUGGAAACUGUAAAUUGACAUGUGUUUGGUCAGAUUGUGUCAGGCUUAAAUUUUUUUUAUUUUAUUUUUUCAUUCAAAACUGUUUUAGCAAUAAUUAAUUCCAUGGUUACCACAUUCUGCCGUUAAGGGAAAUGUUAGUACGGACCUUAAUGCUGAAGAAAUCUUAAUAAGUCUGAAUUUUGGGGGUAGGCAGCUUCUUUGUUUCUUUUCUAACCAUCCUUGUCAGUUAAGGUGUUUGUUUCUUGACUAAUAAACCCUUUGAUACUUUUAGCCAGAAAUCAGUCUCAUAAAGCUAUUUUUGAGUAUAGUUUGUGUAAAAUAAAUUUGUUUAGCUUUGGUAACUUUUCCAAGCUGAACUCCCUCUAGCAAGAUAUUUUUCAGUGCUUUCAUUUACUAUGCACUUAGACUAUGCACUUUUUCUGAGAUAUUUUUGUAACACUUUUUUGUAUUUUUGCCAUUUGAAAAGGUUGUGGUGUAGUUGGUCUGUAAUUAAGUUGCAGAUUUAAAACUGCUGUUAGCUUUGUAAAUCAAAAUAUAGGUAUCUCUUUGUCCUGGUAUAUUGUCAUUCCAUCUGCAGCUGGAGCUGGAAUCCCAUUGAUCUUCUAGCUACCAUUCAUUUUCUUCACAGUUCACAAAAGAAGAAUGUGAAAUUCAGUGAAUGCUGUUACUAAUCCUGUCGGGAAAUGAAUCUCAUUUCACCAAAAUUAAGUUAUGUUUUUCCACUAAAAUGAUGAUACAAGUUGAAGACACAUCAUUCUGAAAUUGGAAGACCUCACCACUUAAGGCUCCACAGUGGCUUACUCAGCUGAACUCUAGGUUACUACUUUACUUUGUUCACCCAAUGGGGGGUGCAGUUUUUUUAAAUGUUGGGAGAUGGCCAUUCUAACUACUGUUGAAUGUCUCUGUUUUGGGAAGGUAUAACAAGAAAAUAAAAAAGAAUAUAUAUGAAGGGAGAGACUGGUUAUCUCCUCCCAUAUGGUUGUGCUUAUGCUCGUAUAGCCUAUAAAUGGAUAUUUGGAGGUUUGCUUUUCCUAUUUUUAAGAGAUUUUCAUAUUUCUGAUAGUCCUUGCAUUGCCAGUAAUUGUAAAUGCUAAAUGUUUCAAGCAGAUAAUACUAUAAUAAUAGAAAGCUUAGAUCUGUUAUACUAAAAACAUGAAACACAAGGACUUUAGAACCCAAGCCAAUGAGCUCAUGUUCCCUCAAAUUUGCUGAAAUACCAAGAACAGUUUGUUGUAAGUCAUUACUAGAAUGAGCCAAGGAUAAUCUGAGAUGGACUGGCCUACUCACCAGAACUGUGUGGUUUUCUAAUGUGGGUGGCAGGUGCCCAUGCAAUUGAGCCAGCACCUGUAGUCUCCCAGGGUACACGUUAGCAGGAAGCUUGGGUCAGAGGCUGAGCUGGGACUCAAACCCAGGCAUUCCUAUAUAAGAUGUGGGUGUGCCAAGUGGCAUUUUAACUGCUAUGCCAAAUGCAUGUCAUUUGAAAAAUAACACUUUCAAAACAUCAAAAGAUGGCAGAAUGCUAGCUAUAGAUUGAUCUAAUCUGGUGACAGUCUGUUUGAACCAUACAUUGGAGUAAAAUGAUGACUUUGCUGAAAUGUCUGGUUAGACUGGUUUUUAGGACAUACUUAGAAGUAAUGAGACUGCUGAGCAACAGUGUAGCUGUAAAAGUAACUCACCUAGAAUCUAUGACUACUAAUGGGUCUUAGAGGAAUGUCUGGGCUGUGACAGGGCAAUACAGGAACCAGGAACAUCUUCUUGUCCCAGGAUGGAAGUCUCAAAAAAUGGUAGGUACAUGUCAGAAACACAAGAUCCUCACAACAGUCAAACAGCUAUGGUUACUCCUGUCACAUACAAGCUAUGUAUUAAGAAAAACAAACAAACUGGAACUACCCUAUAGGAGGCAUCUUGGUAAAUUUUGCAGAACCAGGACCUAAACCUGAUGGCCUUAAGCUGUUACAUGGUUAAAGCAUUGGUGCUUUAAACCCAGAGAUUGGUAAUACCAGCUAUCAUUGAGUACCUUACAUACGUUGAUUUGCCUAGUCCUCAGAUUGUCAUGUUUUUUAUGAGGAUACCAUAGAACAAGGGCCAGGUUGUAUCCCCUUAGAUUAGGGGUUUUUGUUUUUCUUUAAGUUUUGUUUAUUUGAAAGGCAGAGUUAAGAGAGGGCUGCUGUCCACUUUGUUCCCCAGAUGACCUCAGUGGUCAAAGCUGGACCAGGCUGAAGCCAGGAGCAAAUCUGGGUCUCCCAUGUGCAUGCAGUAGCCCAAGUACUUGGGCUGUCUUCCACUGCUUGCCCAGGCACAUGAGCAGAGUGCUGGAUCAGUAGGGCAGCUGGAAUUCAACUGGCAAUCAAGUGGGAUGUCAGCAUUACAGAAGCCGUUUAACUUGCUGCACUGUAACGCCAACCCCAGUUCCCUUCGAUUUUCUUUUUGAGAGGUGGACUUAGAAAAGUCUUCUAUCCACUGCUUCAUUCCCCAGGUGGCCCAAACAGCCUGAUCAGAAACUUCUUCUAGGUCUCCUGUGAGAGUGCAGGGGCCCAAGCGCUUAGGCCAUCUUCUGCUUUCUCAGGCCAUAUCAGAGCUGGGUCACGAACCAGUGCCCAUGUGGGAUGCUGGUGCUGCGGGCAAGGGCUUGGCCUACAAUGCCACAGCACUGGCCCCUAGAUUUUUAAAUAGGAUCUUGGCUCACCUUAUGUUUAGACAAUUCAUAUUAGCUAUGUAUCCUGUAUCAAAUGUAAGUGUACCUGCUUAUCAAAUAGAGGGUCUGCCCUGGUGAAGGUAAAGGCCAUUUAAAAAGUGAUCUGUAGCCUCCCUGUACCCACACCCUGAAAGUAAAGUGAAUGUGAAGAGGCGUAAGUCUAAAAUUUUCAGGCAACUUGGUUUACAACAUUUUACAGUUUGAUAUGUACCUGAUGAGAGUAUAGGUUUUCCUAAUGUUUAGUUUGCUUGUGAAAUUUAGCUAUUUAUUUAGUAAGUGAUAUGAACUGGCUUAAAUGGAGUAAGUGUGCUUUUUUUAAUUGCUUAGAAAUAUGUUAAUCCAUAGAUUGUGAGUUUUCUUUUUGGUAUUAGGUUUAUGUGAAAGUUUGGGAGAUAUUUCAAUAGUGAUUUUCUAAUCUAGUCAUGAAUUACCGUAUUCACUUAAUGACAGCUGAGUCUGAUGCGCAGAGGGAUGCUAUGUGAUACAGUUGGGGAUUAAGGAGAGAGAUUAUGAGUGACAGUACAAGGUGGGGGCUUUAGGAGUCAAAGGAGAGUGACAGUAUAUUUUGUGUUGACGGUGAAGGUAAUUGUGUAUGGUAAGGUUGUGCUGGUCCUUUGGCUGUCAGCAAGCUUGCCAGUCCUUAAACUCCCUUUGCCUGUCAUGCAUCCUUUUAAAAAAAAAAAAGUACUCACCCAUAAAAGAUGUCGGGGUCCAGAGGAGAGGGGAACAAGGCAGGCUUUUUCAUUUGCCCAAUAAACUGGUCAUUUCUGUGGCUUAAUAAUAAACCCAUAUUUAGAACCAAAUUCUAGAGAUCAUUUUCUUCAACCUCUUAGUGAUCAGUUGAUGAAACCCAAAACCUUCAGUUUUCCAAUCAAGACUAGAAUGCAGGCCAGCUAGUAUUUUCCAUACUUUAAUUCUUGGUGGUGUCAUUAAGCCAGGGUAAUUUCUCUAUAUAUUGCAUUUAUCAGUCACCUUUUACCUUGUUGUGACCAAUAUGUCUUGUGUUGGUAAGCAAAAAGUAAAAUGUCAGUUUAGGUAAGCAAAAAGUAAAAUGUCAGUUUAGAUGCUGAACAGUGUGAAAAAUUUUAAAAUCAGAGGUUUUUUUUUAAUCUUAAAAUCAUUGACAAAAUCAAUUAGUAUUGUGUAGAUAAGAUACACUUUUUUUUGGAAAGGGAGAGUGAGAGGAGAAGUAUCCACUGGUGUCACUUCCCAAAUGGCUUCAACAGCAAGGGCUGGGCCAGGCAGAAGCCAGGAACUCAGAACUCCAUCCAGGUCUCCCACCUAAGUGGCUCUUCCACUGCUUUCUCAGACACUUCAGUGGGGACUGCGCUUUGAUAGGGGUGAUGGAACCUAUCCAUUUCUAGUGAUCAGGAGUGGGAUGCAUUCUGUUACAUAAAGCCAUAUUUGGUCAAAUUGUGAGUAGUGGUCGUUUUAAAUAUGCUCUUAAUGCAUGUCCCUGUACCCGGGUUUAAAUGAAUGGUUCUAAUAUAGCAGUGUACUCACUGAAAGGGUUUUCUUAGCAGUGGAGCUACAACCUGUCAUUUAUGGAGUAGAAUGUGUUGGCUAGGAAGAUGAAGCUUUUUGUCAGCAUUACCAUAUUAAGUGCAAUGUUACUGAUUGAGAGAAGGAAAAUAGUGUGAAUAACUGUUGGAAACAACUGUGGAUUUCAGGCAGCCAGCCAUUGGUUCUGUGUGCCAGUGGACAGUGGCACAAAUGUUGGUGAUAAAGUGCUGUGUUGAUAAGCUCUUAACAGUUGCUAAGUAAAUAUUUUUUGUUAAUUGCAAAACUGGUUUGCACUCUUAACAUGUGACUCCAUUAAGAAUGUAAUGUUUUAGUGAUGUAGACAGUGAGCUAAAAUACACCUCUAGGUUUGUGUGUGUGUGUGCAUGCCUGCACGUACACACACGCAUACCAUCACUAGAAAAGCGAAAGCAAGUCCUUCGGACAGGUUUCAUUAUCAGUGGCCACCCUGCCCCCCUGUGAAAUGGUGAAGAACAUGUAAGCGAUUGCUUGAUCUUGAAUGUUGUGUGAUGGUAAUGCUACACAACAGUAACAGGGAUUUAUGGAGUAUAUUAGAAAGUAGGGAUAGUGGAACAAAUGAAGACCAGAGAAAGUAAUUUCCAUCUGGAAAAAUUAAUGAAGACUGUCCUCACCUUGAACAAACUACUCUUGGAGUGAUGGGAGCAAAACGCUCACAUGAGUAAUUUUAGCCAGUAAUUUCAGCCAUUGCUUUAGCAAAGCAAACAAUGUCAUGGGGGAAAGUGCUAGAGGUUCAUGUGUGUUAGAGAAUGAGUUUGCCUCAGUCACAGGUAAUAGGAAAAAUUUGACCAAAAGCUGAAAUAAAAGAGUAACUUAAAAAAGAAGAGUGAAAGUCUCAUCCAGUGUUGUCCCUACCUAAUGAUGUAGUUUUAUUGGUCUUCAGAUACUGGCAUUACUGUUGUGGAGAUUAGGGAAUGAAAAAGAUUAUAGGGGGCUGGCGCCGUGGCUCACUUGGUUAAUCCUCUGCCUACAGCGCCGGCAUCCCAUAUGGGCACCAGGUUCUAGUCCCAGUUGCUCCUCUUCCAGUCCAGCUCUGCUCUGGCCACGGAGGGCAAGGGAAGAUGGCCCAAGUGCUUGGGCCCCUGUACCCGCAUGGGAGACCAGGAGGAAGCACCUGGCUCCUGGCUUCGGAUAGGCACAGUGCUGGCUGUAGCGGUCACUUGGGGGCAUUAUUCAGGGCAAUUCUCUGAUCACUAGUAGGGACUCACUUCAUCCCCCAGCCCCAAGACCAACCCUUUUAAAUGUUUGGGAUUUUAGGGCUGAUAAAUUUGUCCGUAUGGAGUAAAUAUAUUUUAAUGUUUUAAGGUGUCACUGUCUUGUCUUCCAUUUCUAUCCUUAGAGAGAAACAUGCUAUUUUUAUAACUGGGUACCAGGAAGGAAAAUUCCAUGCAUUAAUAUUAUUUCUAGUGAUUGUCAGAACCUUUUAUAAAGCCACAUCCAAAUGUGCAUUGUCACCUAGAAGGAUAUGAAGCCUAGUAGGAGACUUGAUGCUUGCAAAAUCUGCAGAUACCCUACCCUUUGCUUUUUGUCUCCAGAUGCUAUGUAUGGAGUGGUGACAGGCUGAGAGGGGUAAACAAAGUAGUGAUGCAUGGGAGGUAAACAUAUCAUUGACUCUUGGAGCUCUGAUCCUCCCUUGGAAUAUCUUGUUCAAGGUCGCAGAGUUGGUUAGUGACAGAGCUGGGAAAGAACCCAGCAGAUCCCACUUCUCCACUGAACUGCUACUAUAGGCACAGAGCAGUGGUGUUUUGUUUGUUUUGUUUUAGAUUAUUUGAAAGGACAGUGUCAGUAUCAGGACAAGAUAAAUCAUCCUCUGGGUCACUCCCCAUGGGGCCCUAACAGCAAGGUCUAGACUAGGCCAAAGCCAGGAGCUGAGUUCCAUUGGAGUCUCCCUGUGAGUGACAGGGACCCAAGCACUACAGCCAUCCUCCACUCCUGUCACAGGCACAUGAGCAGGAACCUGGACCAGCACUCCAGUAUGGGAUACCAGUGUUCUAAGUGGCAUUUUAACCCACAGCACCAUACUGCCAGUCCCAGUGACUCUGAAUUCGACUCCAGGAUCUGCAACUUCUGGAAAUUUGUUAGUUCAAAUUCUAGUGUCUGCUCCAAACCUACCCCUGGGAGCUCGACAGAUGGAGUGCAGCACCUCUGUUUCAAACCCCACCACCACCACCACCCCCAGCAUUGUAGCUGAUCCUGAUCCACGAUGAAGUUUGAGAACCACUGACAAGGAUGAAACGAAGUAGGCAGCAGAAGGAACUGAGGAAGGACCUGAAGCAUGACCUGUGAUUCAUUUAACUUUCCUUAUCUAUGGAAGAAAUGAUCACAAAUUCUCCCUGCUGGUGGCUGUGCGGGUGGAAUGAAGUCAAGCAGUGUCUUGGUUCACAGAAGCUCUGCCCCCUCUAUUUCAUGAAAUGUUGGUAGCUGGAAAUUAGCUGAGGUGAGAACUUGGAAAACUCAAGUCCAGGCCUUCUAACCAUAGCUGGUUCACCAGCAUGCCACUGAUUGCACCAUGCAGUGCAUCUACUUUGGUUUUUCCUUACUUUGUAGCUACCAGGAUCUGAGCUAAAAUUACUUAAACAUUUGAUCCUAGAAUUCCCAUUACUUGUGACUUAUUUUGUUAUUGUUAUUUGAAAUAAUUAGGGAGUGAGAACCUCUAUCCCCUUGUUCACUCCUCAAAUAGCCACAACAACCAAACCUGGACCAGAGGAAACCAAGAGUUUCUUCCAGGUGUCCCACAUGAGUGCAGGGGCCCAAGAACAUUGGCCAUCCUCCACUGCUUUCUCAGGUGCGUUAGCAGGGAGCUGGAUCAGAAGUGGAGCAGCCAGGACUCAAAUUGGUACCCAUAUGGGUUGCGUGCAUCGCCGGUGGUGGCUUUAUCCACUAUGCCACAACACCAGCCCCUGCUUGUAAUUUCUAAUGAGCAUAUUAGAUUAGGGGAGGAUUGUUGAGUUAAACAUUUUAUAUAUAUAUAUAUAUUUCAUAGGCAGAGAGUUGUAGAGAGGCAGAGAGAGCGGUCCUCCAUCUGCUGGUUCACUCCCCAAAUGGCUGCAGUGGCUGGAGAUGGGCCGAUCCAAAGGUAGGAGCCAGGAGCUGCUUCUGGGUCUCCCACGUGAGUGCAGGGACCCAAGGACUUGGGCCAUCCUCUACUGCCUUUCUAGGCCACAGCAGAGAGCUGCAUCGGAGGAGAAGCAGCUGGGACUUGAAACGGUGCCCAUAAGGGAUGUAGGUAUGCUACUGUAGGUAGCAGCUUUACCUGCUUCGCCACAGCAGCAGCCCUGUGAGUUCUACCUAUAACAGAAACUCACUUUCCAUCAAAAUCACAUGUGCGUGAGUCCUGUGAAGCCCCAUGUUCCAAAUAACUUGGAGGUGUGGGGUUGACUUUACAGAGGUGUUGGUGGAGACUUGGAGACUCAAGAAUGGAGAGUCUUAACAAAGGAGCGCCAACCAGGAAGUCAGCAGAAGUCAGGGAAGCUGUGUGUUAGUAAACAUUGCACAAUACAUUUCUGUCUAAUGUGAGCUAAGCAGCCCAUCCUGCUUCCCGUCUUAAAACUACUGGGGGCCAGCACUGUCAUAGUGGUUAAAGCUGCUGCCUGCAGUGCCGGCAUCCCAUAUGGGCGCCGGUUCAAGUCCAGGCUGCUCCACUUCCAAUCCGGAUCUCUGCUGUGGCCUGGGAAAGAAGUAGAAGAUGGCCCAAGUCCUCAGGCCCCUGCACCCACAUAGGAGACCCGGAGGAAGCUCCUGGCUCUUCUGAUCGGUGCAGCUGCAGCCAUUGCAGCCAAUUGGGGAGUGAACCAGCAGAUGGAAGACCUCUUUCCAUUUCUCUGCCUCUCUGAAACUCUGCCUUUCAAAUAAAUAAAUCUUAAAAAAAAAAAAAAAA